AUAAUGCCUAAAAAUGUGUACUGCGUUAAUUUCUAAAAUUUUCGACAUUGAAAUAUUUCACAUAUGUAUGUAACAUCAACACAAAUCUUCAAAAGAACGCUUCAAAGUUAUGGAGUACAUAUUCGUCUAUUGGGUGUCGGUGCAAUACAAAAUCACCAAGAUAUGUAUUGAUGUAUGGAUACCUUCGACUCGUAAAUCUUGGAUGUGUUACUGUGAAGAAUAGUGAAUCAUUUCAUUAAUACAACAAUUCAAUGAUUACAAAGGCGUCGCAAAGAUCCAACCAAAUUGGGUUAGAGCUACAUGAUGAAAAAACAUCAAAAUAUCGAGAUUUAUAUAUUGAAGACAACUUAAGAAGUUACCAAGAGACACUAUCAUGAAAAAACUGCGUUUGAAACGACAAAACUUUACAAUUUUACGAGACAAAGUAUAAUAAAAUGAUGAAAUGUGAUGGUCUUGUAUCGUCAACAAUACCUAUUUCAUAAACAUUUAUUAUUUCGUCAGGAAAACAACAUUGGUAAAAUAGGUAGGCUGUAGGGGUGGAGGUUAAAACCUGUUCUCAACAUACCCUUCAUUAACAUGCAUGUUUGUUCCUGGAGUCGAUAUAUUGAAAGACUGUUUUUGUACACCUUUGGAAAUGAAAACAAUAUGUUAGCAGUUAAAGAUAUUUCCUCAGACGAUAAACAUAAAAAAGCCUACCCUUUGCUUUAGCUGCUCUUAGUUUUCUUUGAUGACUGCAAAAUAUAAUAGAAAAUACAAUUCUACAGCUUUCUAUAAAAACCAUUUUAAGUGAUCAAAGUCAUGAAAA